rnacentral:ncRNA from 1 species
GACGAAGCGGGAGGCUCCGACGCGCGGCCCACACCCCGGCCGCCGGGACCGCGCCGAGCCACUGGCGAGACCGACCCGCGAGUG